rnacentral:tRNA from 1 species
GAGAGCCUAGAACCAACAAGAUAGAUUUGUUUGACAUGCCUGUCACGCAUGAGGUCGCGGGUUCGAGUCCCGUCGUCCCCGCCA